AACUAAUGUUUGAUAUUUUAGCUGGGGAAUGAAAUUUGUUAAUAUUUUACUUAUGUAUUUUUAAUUAUUAUGUUAUUCAUGUUGAAGUAUUUAAAUUUUCGUUGUUAAUUUUGUUUCUUCCUUCUUUUGAUGUAUUUUAUUUUAAUGAAAAUUAAUAGAAAUCCCCAGUUGUCAGUUGGAUUCAAGAUGAGUAAUGGAGAUGUAUGCCUUCUUGAUAGUGCUACAACGCAUACAAUAUUAAAAGAAAAAAACUACUUUUCUAAUUUGGUUAUGAAAAUGGCAUAUGUCAACACAAUAUCAGG
rnacentral:lncRNA from 1 species